rnacentral:misc_RNA from 1 species
GGCUGGGAGAUCCCUCUUAUUUAUCAUGGAACAGGACUCCGGGAGGUCGCUGAAAAAUGCGUUUGGAAUCGCACACAUGGUUGUAGUUUUGUGUAUUCAAUGUUUAAAAUAUAAUCUUAGCUUGAAAGGAGUUCAUUCCUGUUUGAAACUAAUUUUUUAAACGUGUAAGGUGCUGGUAAAUUUUAUGUGUACUUCAGUAAUAGAAUUGGGUGUUAUUACUUCUGGCAAUGCAUGAUAUUCAAUUAGUG